GGUAUAUUGGAUUCACCCUGUCUGUCUGUCCAUCUGUCUGUAGACCCAAUUUUGUCCCCCCCCCCCCCCCCCCCACCCUGCAAUUUUUAUUAAGAUCAAACAAGAUAUAAUGAUUUUAUGACAAUUUUCAUCUUCCUUAUCCUAUAUAUUCUACACUGAUGUUGAAAAGCAAGGGAGGUAAUUUAUUAACAAGAUCAUUUAAUAGUACAUCUCUAAAAUAUAUUUAUAUAAAUACAUCCAGAUGGAGGUUUUUUGUCUUUAUUUUUUAACUAAACUUUUUUGUUUUAUAAGUAUUCUAUCAACUGACAAUGCAAACUUUUUGUUUGUCAAUAAUUAAUUCUUAGAAGUUAAUAAGAACAUCUUAGACAAGUGUGGCUGAAUUCAUCUGUCCCAAGGGGGCCAUUAUCUGAGCCAUGGUUUAGAUGGAGCAUGUGUUAAUAAGGGAAAAUUGAUAAUUUGUAAAAUGGACAGUGAUUUGUGGGUUAUUAUAAUACCAUUUCAUAUACACAAAAAAUUUCUAUCAUUUUAAGGAACUAAAUUAUACCAUUAUUAAUAAAGAAUUUAACUAUUCUUAAAAGCUGUUUAAAUUUAUUAGUCAAGUAAAUUCACAAAGUGACCUUAUAGGGCAUUAAUGUAAAUGAAAUUCAAAAUUAUUAAUAUGUUUUUGGUCCCAUUUGAAAUUAGCCUUGCAUGGAUAUUAGUCCCAUUAGGACAGUUCUAAUGUUUGUAUGAUGUAAUGUAUAUGUUAUUGCUGAUGUUCCAUACAUGAAACAAAGGAUGCAAAGAGACUAGGAAAAGGAUGUAAUGUUUGCAUGAUAUAAUGUAUAUGUUAUUGCUUUAAUAUUUAUUGUAAUUUUUUUUUAUACAUUACAGUUAAUGGAUUUAAGUUGAUUUAUUUUACCGAAUAAAAUCCAGAAUUUUUGAUAAAAU
rnacentral:misc_RNA from 1 species